GAUGAACGCUGGCGGCGUGCUUAACACAUGCAAGUCGAACGAGAAGUGAAGACGGAAACCUUCGGGCGGAAGGCUUUAUUUCGAGUGGCGGACGGGUGAGUAACGCGUGGGUAACCUGCCUCAUACAGGGGGAUAACAGUUGGAAACGACUGUUAAUACCGCAUAAGACCACAGCACCGCAUGGUGCGGGGGUAAAAACUCCGGUGGUAUGAGAUGGACCCGCGUUCGAUUAGCCAGUUGGCGGGGUAACGGCCCACCAAAGCGACGAUCGAUAGCCGAUUUGGGAGGAUGACCAGCCACAGUGGGAAUGAGACCCGGCCCAAACCCCUACGGGAGGCAGCAGGUGGGAAUAUUAGACAAUGGGGGAAACCCCGAUUGAGCCAAGCCGCGGUAGGGAAGAAGGUCUUUGGGUUGUAAAGCCCUUUCAGGCGGGAAGAAAAAGACGGGACCAGGAGAAGAAGCCCCGGGCAAAUCAGGG
rnacentral:rRNA from 1 species